rnacentral:rRNA from 1 species
AACAAACGCUGGCGGCAUGCCUAACACAUGCAAGUCGAACGAAGAAUGUUUACAUUCUUAGUGGCAAACGGGUGAGUAACGCGUGAGAAUCUGCCUUUUGGUGGGGGAUAACUAAGGGAAACUUUAGCUAAUACCGCAUAAGCUUGGAAACAAGGAAAAAUUUAUUGCCAAGAGAUGAGCUCGCGUCAGAUUAGGUAGUUGGUAGGGUAAAGGCCUACCAAGCCUGUGAUCUGUAGCUGGUCUGAGAGGAUGAUCAGCCACACUGGGAUUGAGAUACGGCCCAGACUCCUACGGGAGGCAGCAGUGAGGAAUAUUGGACAAUGGGGGAAACCCUGAUCCAGCAAUGCCGCGUGAGUGAAGAAGGCCUUUGGGUUGUAAAGCUCUUUUACUCGUGAAGAUGAUGACGGUAGCGAGAGAAAAGUUCCGGCUAACUCUGUG